GGCGGCGCUGGCGGCGUGAAAGGCGCCUUUGUGCAAGCCGGUGUGUAGGACCGCGGGAGAGGAGAGAGCAGGACCUGGAAACGGGGAGAGGCGUACCACGCUCCCUGCCGUCGGGUCUCCAGCAGGACAGUAGGGUAGAGCGGUGGACUGGGGACCGGCGCUGCAGAGGUUGUCUGCCUCUGUGGCCGUGGGGCAGGGGUGGGAAGAGAACAGUUUGGAGGAAGUUGGGGAGAGGGACCUGUCUCCCCGCCCUCUCCGCCUAGGUGACAGAGAGGCCCCGCUGGCUGGCAGGGUGCAAGCACUGCCCCGGAGCUCACUCGGGAACCGGCAUCUGGAGAGCGGCCCCCGGGUGGAGCCGCCCGCCUGCCGCCCACCUGGGGCAGAGUGGCGGGCGCGGCGUGGCCUCCCUCCUGCGCCCCGGCCGCGUGGCUUGCGGCUUAUUUUCCCAGCUGGCAAGCGUCGCGCUGCAGACAAGGGAAUGCCUGUGGUCCUGCGUGUUCCGGAGCUCGGGGGCAUCCUGAUCCCGCUGAGCCCCUUCCAGGUG
rnacentral:lncRNA from 1 species